rnacentral:lncRNA from 1 species
AUUAGGAUUUGAUUUAGGAUUUAGGAUUUGGUUUAGGAUUUGGUUGGAGUUUAUUUAGGAUUUAGGAUUUGGUUAGAAUUCGGUUUAAGAUUUAGGAUUUGGAUUAGGAUUUGAUUAGGAUUUGAUUUAGGAUUUAGGAUUUAGUUAGGGUUUAAUUUAGGAUUUAGGAUUUGAUUAGAAUUUGAUUUAGGAUUUAGGAUUUGGAUUAGGAUUUGGUUAGGGUUUGAUUUAGGGUGUAGGAUUUGGAUUAGAGUUUGAUUAGGGUUUGAUUUAGAAUUUAGGGUUUAGUUUAGGAUUUGGUUAGGAUUUGGUUUAGAAUUUGGUUGGAAUUUGGUUUAAGGUUUGUUUAGGUUUUGAUUCAGGGUUUAGGAUUUUAUUAAGAUUUAAGAUUCAAUUGGUUUUGGCCUAAAGUUUGAAUGAAGUUCAAUAGGAUUUUAACUAGAAUUAAAUUAAGAUUGAAUUGAGAUGUAUUUGAGUGAUAUUUGUGAUCCUUCUAAUAUUUCUUUGAGAAUUCUUAUUGUUUGUUUGAAAUUUCUUUGAGGUUUUUUUGAAUUUGAUUAAGCUUGCUUAGCAUUAUUAUA